AUUUUAUGCUCUCUCUUUCCUUUCCAUUUUUGGGUAUGUUUUAUCUUCCACUCAGAGCUCAAAACUAGAACAGAAAAGGUUUUGCUUGCUUGUUUUCUUUCCCGUUUUUUCCAGCUUCUGGGACAUUAGAAAUUGACAGAAGAGAGUGAGCACACAGAGGCAUAUUUGUAUAAAAUUAUACCAUUGCUUUUGCGUGCUCAUUUCUCUUUCUGUCACUU
rnacentral:misc_RNA from 1 species